UAUUAUUUAUGGAAAAUAAUAAAUAGUAUAACAAUCCAUCAUCUAUAAAAAAUGGUGGAUUUGGACUUUCCCACCUAAUAGGUGGGAAAUCAAAACCCUCAAAAAUGAUGGAUUGUAGAAAAUGUGGGAAUUUGUAAAUCCAUGGAUUCUAUUAAUUUUUUUUCUAGGCAAACGAUAGAUUUUAUCCAAAUCCAUGGAUUGUUUAGAAUCCGUCGUUUAGAAUCCAUCAAUCCAAACAGUGCCUAUAACUUUUUGACCUUUUCUUUUUUACUCUUCCUUUCUUUUCAAUUGUUUCUGUUUAUAUUCCAUCUGCUGCUAAUGGUCCUCCGACGAAUGCUGGUAAUAUCAACAAGACAACAUCAUCAGAAGCAUUAGGAAGGCAACACCGUCUGAAGCAAGAGGAAGGCAACACCGUCGUCAUCGGUGCUACGGCUGCUCCUGGCGAUAGUAAAUUUUCCAUUUGUUGCUGUUGCUUAAUGCAGUGUUCCGAUGAUUGAGAACUCAGUGGAGCGAACGAUUUCAAAUAUAGUUCGAUUACUUUCUAUUUAAGUUCUGCGAAGUUCUAUUCGAUUGAUUAUAUGGAAGAUAUCUUAGAGAGUUAGAGGUAACAUGUUUGAGAAGUUCGUUGCCUAAUUUUGAUUUUUUAAUUCUUAUUCAUGUCUGGUGCUACAAACGUGUAGAUAUACUAACAUGAGGAUUCUUAUAUAAACUUGUGUCUUCUGUUUGCAUUGUAGUUCUGAUGUUUAUGGUUUCUUCUUUGUUCUGUGCAACUUGAUAAUUUAGUAUCAUUGUUGAUGAUGCUAAAUUCAAGGUUUGUUUCUCAAAACUUGGGCAGUGGCCGCCUAAGAGCGUUCGCCUUACUAGGCUUGGGAGUUGACAUUGUUUAAUCCUUCCUUGAAGGUCUGAACUACAAUGUUUUUUUCAGUUGUUCCACCAAAUUUGUAGUGAAUCCUUCUUUUAUAGUUGUAAUGUUGAAAUGUUUUCUUUUAUAGUUGUUAGAGUUUGUCGUGUGAGUAUUCGUUGCAGGUGAUUGUGUUUGAUCAGAAUGGUGAUUGUGGAUUAUUAUAAAGGUCAAGUUCCGAGCAGUGACUAGUUCUUGCCAAUAAAGGUGUAUAUGUUGCUGCAAUUGGGAGAAGUCUGCAAGCUUGCAAUGGUUGAAAAUUUUGAUUAACAACCAAAUAUAUAAUUGUAUUAAAAUUAAAUCAAGUAAAUGUAUGAUCGUACAAGAGAGGAAAGGAGUACAUAGCGGCUUCUUUUUUUUAAACAGUGAAUGCAAGGCUUUUGAGUUCAUGGGGUA